GACUCUGCAGUAGAGGAGGCAUAAAACGUUUCUCCGACAUUCCUGAUGGGUGCUAAUUCAGGUCGUGGUGUCACACAUCGCGGAAACUGAUGCGAAGGCUUCGCGGUAAUGCUGUUAGCACGACGCGAAAUUAGCCGGACGAUCUGACGCGUUGUGUGACAAAAAGUUUUCGUGACACUCGAUCGUCGAUCGUCGUUGAUAAUCGUCGAUCAUAAAAGGUACGUUUAAACGUACGAAACCAGGAAAGAAGGGAAAAAAGAAACUAGGACGGUUGACGCCCUCGGGUUGUCAUUUAGGGAAAGACUCAUGUUUAGUGAAUAUCUGUUCAUGGAUUCUAUUUGUUGACCAAUAUGUUCCACUGUCAGUUGAACUUUGCACAAAUCUUGGGAAGGAUAUUCUUUUUUGAAGAGAUAUUUUUUGAUCGGAACGACGGCGUUGUCGCGCAAGAAAAAGGUGUUCCGGAGACGAAGACAGCCAAGACCUUGAAGAUAAAAGUUGGUCAUGUUGUUUAAAAGAAACCAUCUGUCUCGGACAUAAUGGCCUGCGUCAUAGAUCAACAAUGCUUCGCUUGCGUAACUUCCUUCAUUUCAAUCAAAUAUCCCCCUCUUCCUUAAUUGAUCUUUAUUGUUAACUUAUUUGAAAAUUGUAUCGGCGAAUUUCGUUGAGCAUCGAGAAAUUUAUUAACUGCGCGGAUGAUCCAAACUUUCAUUUUUAUUAUCAUACACAUCGCUUUAACCUCUUG